ACUCUUUGGAAAUCUGGGGAAAUACAUACAAAACCAACCUAUAGUCAACUGCGUAAAUCAUGUUCAAAGCAAGAAAUAAUUUACUUCCAGAAAAUUUACAAAACAUGUUUAUGGACAGACAGUGUGGGUUUAAUCCAAGAGAACAACUUUAAACUU